GUCUGUGAAAUAGGCAGCAUCAGCAUGAGAUCACAGUGGCCAGUUUUUCUCCCUCAGGUGGCUAGCAUGGGCCACAGUGGGCAGCCCCUGUCCUUCAGGCAGGGAGCAUCAUCUUGUGGGGAGAGGCAUUCAUUCAUCUUCAUUCCUCUUCCACUCAGGCAGGCAGUAGCAUGUGGGCAGAAUAUUUACUGCUCUGCGGAAGCUGCCAAAAGCAGGUACAUGUCAGCACAAUCUCUUUCUCAGUGAGGUGGGCUUAGUUGGGAGCAGAUGUGGACUCUGUAUGUUCUUCUCUUAGUGAGGUGGUCAGCAGAUGUAUGAGUGUAGUGGUCAUCUCACCAAAAUGGGCAGCAGCAUGUGGACAGAGAAGCAGCAGGCAAGGCAAAGAGCAGGCAAGUAGGCAAUCCAUCUAUUACAGGGCCUCUCUGCUUACAGGAAGUGGACACGGGUGGUGCUGUGGUCUAAACCAGUGCAAGUAGAUAAAUAGGUACUGUUGCGGUGGGAAGAUAAAAAGUAAUUCCAUGCACUCUGGUUUCCAUCACGGUGUUCCGUUGCACCAGAGGCAGUUUAGUCAUGCUGGCCACAUGACCCAGAAAGCUGUCUGUGGUCAAACGUUGGCUCUCUCAGCCUGAAAGUGAGAUGAGCGCCGCAACCCCAUAGUCGCCUUUGACUGGACUUAACUGUCCAGGGGUCCUUUACCUUUACCUUGUACCUUAACUGGGUUCUCAAUGCCUCGUGUCACUUCUAGUUACCAAGAAGGAGAAAGGAGAAGCAGUGGGGAGUGGUAGGAACAUUGGAUAGGGUCCACUGCUCUGCUUGGACUGCAGCCAUCUGCCCACUGCCUCAACUUUUCUCCACUCAGUAACUGGCAGCCAUUUGCAGCAUCGGCAGGUCAGGUAAGUAACACCAGCCUCUCAGGCCCUACUGAUUUCAACCUCGGAAAGCACAGUAAGAGAAGGAAAUUCUUGAGAAAAUUGCUUGAGUGGUGCAUUUAAUCCCAAUGGCUGCAGCUCAAUGUCUGUGAUGGGCCUUAAUGACUUCAAUCAAUCUCAGAGAUAAUUGUAUGGAAACAAACAUGGUUGCCCCCAUGGAAAAACCAGAGGCCACCAUGUUUCUUUCCUACAGUUUCCUCAAAGUGCACAGCAUCAAGGAGCCCCAUACGUUGUAGUAAUGAUGAUGAUGAUGAUGAUGAUGAUAAUACAGUAGUGCCUCGCAAGACGAAAUUAAUUCGUUCCGCGAGUUUUUUCGUCUAGCGAAUUUUUCGUCUUGCGAAUCACGAAUUCCCAUAGGAAUGCAUUGAAAAUCAAUUAAUGCGUUCCUAUGGUCAAAAAAAGUCCAAACAAAGCCAAAUUUGGUACAACAACCUCCCCAACUGUUGCAAACCCCUCCCCAACUGUUCCCCCAGCCCCUCCCCAACUGUUGCAAACCCCUCCCCAACUGUUCCCCCAGUCACCCAGCACACAGAAAUUCAAAUCCAGAAUUUUUUUAAAAAAACAGAGUGGCCCAGUGGUCACAGAAAAUCAUAAAAAUGCAGAAAAAAACACACAAGCUUCCAGAUUCCUGCAAACCCUCCCCAACUGUUCCCCCAGCCACCCAGCACACAGAAAAUCAAAAACAGAAUUUUAAUUAAAAAAAAGCAGAGUGGCCCAAUGGACACAGAAAAUCAUAAAAAUGCAGAAAAAAACCACACAAGCUUCCAGAUUCUUGCAGACCCCUCCCCAACUGUUCCCCAGCCACCCAGCACACAGAAAUUCAAAUCCAGAAUUUUUUAAAAAACAGCAGAGUGGCCCAAUGGUCACAGAAAAUCAUAAAAAUGCAGGAAAAAACCACACAAGCUUCCAGAUUCUUGCAAACCCCUCCCAACUGUUCCCCAGCCACCCAGCACACAGAAAUUCAAAUCCAGAAUUUUUUUUAAAAAACAGCAGAGUGGCCCAAUGGUCACAGAAAAUCAUAAAAAUGCAGAAAAAAACACACAAGCUUCCAGAUUCCUGCAAACCCCUCCCCAACUGUUCCCCCAGCCACCCAGCACACAGAAAUUCAAAUCCAGAAUUUUUUUAAAAAACAGCAGAGUGGCCCAAUGGUCACAGAAAAUCAUAAAAAUGCAGAAAAAAACCACACAAGCUUCCAGAUUCUUGCAGACCCCUCCCCAACUGUUCCCCCAGCCACCCAGCACACAGAAAUUCAAAUCCAGAAUUUUUUUAAAAAAACAGCAGAGUGGCCCAAUGGUCACAGAAAAUCAUAAAAAUGCAGGAAAAAACCACACAAGCUUCCAGAUUCUUGCAAACCCCUCCCCAACUGUUCCCCCAGCCACCCAGCACACAGAAAUUCAAAUCCAGAAUUUUUUUUAAAAAAACCAGCAGAGUGGCCCAACGGUCACAGAAAAUCAUAAAAAAUGCAGAAAAAAGACACACAAGCUUCCAGAUUCUUGCAAACCCCUCCCCAACACCAAGUCCUUGAAUUCCAAACACCCCAACCCAAAAUCCAAAAACCCCCCCAAAAUUUUUAAAAGCUUAACUUGGCUGCAAAAGAAGUUAUGGAAUAGCUUCAAAAAUCACCAAAGUCUUUAAAAACCUCAAAAAAGGCUACUAUGUACACUGCGUUCUAUGAGUUGCUCCUCGAAGUCAAGUCGCAACUGUAUUAAUGGUGUUAAGAAAAAGGAAACAAACUUGCAAGACGUUUCGCCUUGCGAAGCAAGCCCAUAGGGAAAUUCGUCUUGCGAAGCAGCUCAAAAACGGAAAACCCUUUCGUCUAGCGAGUUUUCCGUCUUGCGAGGCAUUCGUCUUGCGGGGCACCACUGUAAUAAUAAUAAUAAUAAUAAUAAUAAUAAUAAUAAUUUAUUAUUUAUACCCCAUCCAUCUGGCUGCGUUACCUCAGCCACUCUGGGCAGCUUAGAGCAAAAUAUUAAUAUACAAUAAUUCAUCAAAUAUUAAAAGCUUCCCUAAACAAGGUUGCCUUCAGAUGUCUUUUAAAAGUCAGAUAUUUAUUUCCCUGACAUCUGAAGGGAGGGUGUUCCACAGGGCGGGUGCCACAACUGUGAAGGCCCUCUGCCUGGUUCCCUGUAACUUCGCUUCUCACAGUGAGGGUACGCCAGAAGGCCCUUGGAGCUGGACCUCAGUGUCCGGGCAGAACGAUGGGGGUGGAGAUGCUCCUUCAGGUAUACAGGACCGAGGCCGUUUAGGGCUUUAAACGUCAGCACCAGCACUUUGAAUUGUGCCCGGAAGCGUACUGGGAGCCAAUGUAGGUCUCUCAGGACCGGUGUUAUGUGGUCUUGGCAGCCACUCCCAGUCACCAGUCUAGCUGCUGCAUUCUGGAUUAGUUGUUGCUUCCGGGUCACCUUCAAAGGUAGCCCCACGUAGAGCACAUUUCAGUAGUCCAAGCAGGAGAUAACUAGAGCAUGCACCACUCUGGCGAGGCAGUCUGCGGGCAGGUAGGGUCUCAGCCUGCGUGCCAGAUGGAGCUGGUAGACAGCUGCCCUGGAAACAGAACGCUAGCCACUCCAGUUAGCUUCAUGACCUGUUUGGGUUUUUUUAAAAAAUGCAAUGGGGGGGGGACCUGUUGCAUGUGUAGAGGCAGUGCUGAAGCUCUUGGACCACUAUUGCAGUGUUUUUAAAACCUUCAUAUUCCCAUGCAGAUUUUAAAGGAUUUUCUCUUGAAAAAUCUCACAGAAACAGGAUCAACAAUGCCAUCUCUAGAAGGGACUGCCUUUAAUGGGUCCAUCCAUUCCUCCCCUUGGGGGUGUUUUUUCACAGAGCUUUGUUUCCCAAAAGGGGACCAUUCAUUUUAAGGGGCACCCUCUAAAGUGGACUCAGUGGUGUUGGCAUUUAGUUUUUAAAACAGACUCAGCAAUAGCAAAAUAUAGGGAAUCGUUUCUGUUCUGAAUCACCACAUUCAUAGCGUGACCUAGAGCAGUGGUGGCUAAACUUGGCCCUCCAGCUGUUUUGGGACUACAAAUCCCAUCAUCCUUGACCACAGGUCCUAUUAGCUAGGGAUGAUGGGAGUUGUAGUCCCCAAACAGCUGGUGGGCCAAGUUUGGCCAUGCCUGGCCUAAAGCGACCUGCCCAUCCUUUACAUGAGAUAUACUGAGAAGAUGAAACCAUGAAACUUCAUGAACAGAACCUGCAAAAGCAAGAUGCCUGAGAAAUAUUUGGGUACAGAUGUUUGUACCAGUCAUCACACUCUUUGGAUUUGAUUAGUAAUAACAAAAACAGCGUAUCGUUUCACUCGAUUGCUUGAUUCAGUUCUAAAGUAAUAUUUGUCAUCUUUACAAAGGUUAGAGAUUUUAUUUAAAAAUUUAUGUGGCAAAACCAGGGACUUUAAAAAAUGCAACAUGAUGUUAAAAGGGCAUAGCUGCAGAACCACUAAUUUGCAAGUUGCUGCGAGAGAUGUGCCCCUGGGGUAUAACAAUAUCCUGAUACAGAAGAAUAAUUAUGCAAUAUCCUGAACCACAUUGAUAUGAAAUAGUAAAAUCUAAAAAAAAAAAAAAAAAAAGCAUUUAAAAUGUUGUGCUAUUUUAUGUCCACGUAUGCCCUUAUACUUUUUUAUUUGUGUCAUUGCCAUUUUUAUAUUCUUUUUCAUAUAUAGAAAUAUCAUUUUUGAAAUAUUUACUUUUUUGGUAGUUUGAUAGCACUGUGUAAAAUUACUUUUUGUGAGCAAAGAAAUGGACUGCCUUUGGUAUGUUACUUACAUGGCUGGUUAUGCAUGUUUGUUAAGUUUACGUUUAUCUUCCCGUGUUUCGAUAGAAAGCUUGAUUUCAUAUCCAUUUUCCUUGGUUAUGAAGUGUCCGACUCCACACAUCAUAACUCACAUUUAUAUUGGCUUCUAUUGCACCUCAUAAUAUGCUGAAUUUCCUUCUCACUCUGGUUAUAACGAGUCUCACAUCACAUCAGUGUAUAAUGCUUUUUGGUUUGUAAAAUGUUAGUAUCCCAGAUUAACGAGUCUCUCAUCACAUUUUACAUUAGCUCUACUGGUUUCAGUUAUGCAUUGUAAUUCAAUAAAUUCCAUGUUUUAAAUCACUGUAUGAUUUUAUUGCCUCCUUUUGCACACUGUAACAUAAUAGUGGGCUUUCAUGUACGUGUGUGCAUAUACGCGCAGAAUGUGGUAUAUUUCCAGCUCUUAUAUACUAAGGACAGUGAAGUUUUCAAUGGCCAAACAUCAUGUUUGCUUGUUUUGCAUGCCUUCGAACGACACUGCAAAUCCUGUUGGCUUAUCCUGGAGCAAUAGUUGUGAAAUCAUAUCAUAUUAUACAUAUCAUCAUAUUGUCAAAUUUAGCAACUGAUGAUGGACAUCAUAUCUCAGCAGAACUCUCAUACUUUCUAAUCCUUCUGCAUGUUUCUGGAGUAAGUCCUCCAUACGGACUACAAUUCCCAUUGUCCCUGAUCCUUGGUCAUGCCAGCAGGGAAUUGGAAUCUAACAACAUCCAGAGGAUCACAUUAUGAGUCAUGUGACAAGUGGAGGUGCAUGUGCAAUUUGCAUGGAAGACCGCUUAGGUCCAUGGAUCUCUCCUGCUGGAAUAAGAUACAGGUGUUUGCUUGUGCAACUGGGUAUAUGUCACUAGAGUUGUAACAACCUAGCCCUCAUUUGCCUUCACAGGUAUGGACAAAGGGUUUAAGAACUAAGUUCAUACCAAGGAUCAUAAAGACUAGUGGAAUGGACUUCCUCAGGAGGUGGUGGGCUCUCCUUCCUUGGAGGUUUUUAAGCAGAGGUUGGAUGGCCACCUGUCAUGUAUGAUUUAGUUGAGAUUCCUGCAUUGCAGGGGGUUGGACUAGAUGACCCUCGAGGUCCCUUCCAACUCCACAAUUCUAGGAUUCUAUGGAGUUGUUGGAAGCAGCAGCAAGUAGUCCAUUAAAAGCAACCCCUGCCUGAUGAUGCAGCAAACAGCCUCUGCUUGAAGACCUCCAGCAACUAAGAGCCCACCACACAUCUAGGUCAGAUGUUCUCAAACUGUGCUCCGCCGACCACUUGUGGUCUACAAAUGCCAUUCAGGUGGUCCAUAGAAAGGUUGCAGAAUAGUUCAUAAAACUUAUUGGUCACAGUUUGUCAGUGAUGCUUGUAAGGGCUUCAAUGGGUGGAGCUGCCCAUGGAGCAGAUGCAAAUAUGUAACUCUUAAGGAAAAGAAAAUAACAUUGUGUUUAGGGAAAAUACUAGCCUGGUUGCAUCCCUGCUAGUUGUGCAAAUGGUCCUCAGCUCAUAUGACUUGUUUCUAUCAUUGUUACGUGUCUAAGGAGGAAGGAGUUUGAGAACCACUGCUCUAGGUUCUAUUGUUGAACUGUUCUCACCAUUUAAAAGUUUCUCCUAAUGUUCAACCAUAAUCUGCCUCCUGUAACGUACGCUCAUUAGCUUCUUCUGACACUUCUUCAGGUAUAGGAAGAGCAGUAACAUGUCUUCUCAACUCUGCUAAGAAUACCCAGAACAUACAUGAACUUCAUCUUCUAUUAUUUUUGUGAUACUGCACUUAGUAUAUAAGUGCUAACAUGGAUCAUUGUUGCACUGAUUGAUAUUAUCAUUUAGAAAAAAAGUGCUGCUGAUAUUGAUGAUAAAUAACAGUAUCAAUCAACACAAGGACCUUCCAAGGUAGGUCAGUAUGAUUGCACUGGCAGUACGGAUGAGGAAGAAGGAGAUAACUCACUUGUGAGUUCAUAGUGGAGCUGAAAUUCAAACCAGAUAGUUACUGAUUUGCGGUGUGAUUUUUUAGCCAUUCUGCUACACUCGGUUUCCAUCAAAACUACUAAAAAAAGUUCCACAUCUUUGGCUAUCCUGGCAGUCAUGUGAGCCAGAAGAGUUUACCCUGAAUUUAAUCCAAACACUUCUGAUCAAAAUGUUUUUAGUGUAGAACCACUGGGAACAGUUCUAGUGAUGUCUACUACAGGUUUGUCUGUAAACCCUAUGAGUGGAGUUGAUUUCAAAGGAAAGUCGAAGAAAGCUUUUCUCCAGUGCUGCUGAUGGACCACUUUGAUGGAGGUGAAUUUUUAGGCAACCUGAUGAAGUUUUAUUCAGACCAGGUGUGAACUGUGUGCGUGUUGUUGGGGUGGGGGUGGGGAGACACGACAAGGAAGCAGUUAUCACUGUAAGUGUAAAGAAAAAUAAAACAUUCAUCCUAUUGUCAUCAGGAGGAGAAUGGUAUUGGAAUCAGUUUGAGGCUACAACAUAGUUAUAAGACCCAGAGAAUCACUGAAAACUUUGAAUCCUGUGCCCUGUGUGUUUUCCAGGAGACACAUGAGUCAUAACUGAGGUGGGGAGGGUUCAGGUUUUCACCUUUAAAGCCCUAAACGGCCUCAGCUCAGUAUACCUGAAGGAGCGUCUCCACCCCCAUCAUUCUGCCUGGACACCGAGGUCCAGUGCUGAGGGCCUUCUGGCGGUUUCCUCCCUGCAAGAUGUGAGGUUACAGGGAACCAGGCAGAGGGCCUUCUCGGUAGUGGCACCCGCCCUGUGGAAUGCCCUCCCAUCAGAUGUCAAGGAAAUAAACAACUAUCUGACUUUUAGAAGACAUCUGAAGACAGCCUUGUUUAGGAAAGUUUUUAAUGGUUGAUGUUUUAUUGUGUUUUUAAUAUUUUGUUGAAAGCUGCCCAGAGUGGCUGGGGAAACCCAGGGGUAACAACAUCAACAACAACUUCUAGCCAUGCCCUCUCACCAAUCCCCACACAUUCCAAGGUCCAAUUUACAUCUUACAAAAAGGGAGUCUGUGUAUAUUGGGGAGCAUGGACAUUGGCUUCUGUGCAGGGCGUUUAAACACAACGAGUUCAGGCAUGGCAAGGGACUGGGGCCAGCUGGUGAGAUUUAGACUCCCCCCAGAUGUGUACACAAUAGCUUAGAGAGUUUCUUUGUAGGGUCCAUUCCCCUCGACUGGGACCCUCUUGGCAACUAUAUGCACACCAGUUCUAUCAAAAGUUAUGGAAGGAAAUUUUUCCAACCGAGCAUUUUAUCCCAUUCAUUUGUUUCAGUGUUUUCAAAUUUGUAAACCACCUAGGGUGCUUUGGCAGAAAACCAACAUAUAAAUAAAUAAAUAAAUACCCCACCUCCUGCCAAUAAUUAUGUGCACAUGUACUACUGUGACUGCUGCCUUGAACACAAUUCCAAGUGUUGGUGCUGACCUUUAAAGCCCUAAACGGCCUUGGUCCAGUAUACCUGAAGGAGCGUCUCCACCCCCAUCGUUCUGCCUGGACACUGAGAUCCAACUCUGAGGGCCUUCUGGCAGUUCCUUCACUGCGAGAAGCCAAGUUACAGGGAACCGGGCAGAGGGCCUUCUCGGUAGUGGCACCCGCCCUGUGGAACACCCUCCCACCAGAUGUCAAAGAGAAAAACAACAACCAUACUUUGAGAAGACAUCUGAAGGCAGCCCUGUUUAGGGAAGCUUUUAAUGUUUGAUGUAUUACGGUAUUUUAAUAUUUUUUUGGAAGCUGCCCAGAGUGGCUGGGGAAGCCCAGCCAGAUGGGUGGGGUAUAAAUAACAUUAUUAUUAUUAUUAUUAUUAUUAUUAUUAUUAUUAUUAUUUCCUUAUGGUAGAGAAAUGAUAAGAUAUCUGAUGAAUGAUCUAACGUUUUGCCCCAGCAAGUAGAUUGCAAAGGGUAAUGGCAUUGUGUGAGGAAUAAUUAAGGGAUAAAGGGAGUUUCAGGGAAAGGUGCCAGAAAAUUUCCUUGCUCUUGUUCUUGGGCUCUGCUUGAGGGUUUGCGGGGGCAUCUGGUUGGCCACUGUGAGAACAAGAUGCAGGACUAAAAGGGCCACUGGCUUGAUCCAGCAGGCUCUUAUGUUCUUAUAUUUUGGAGAGCCAAAGUAGACCGGGCAAAUCUAGGUGGACCAAUGGUCUAUUUCAGUAUAACACAUGUUCAUAGGUUUCCAGACAAGGUAUCAAACUGGUGCCUUUUUGAAAUUCAAUGGUGUUUUUAUACCCUAAGUUAGAGGUGAGCUACAAAUUGCACUCUUUGGCUACCAAACAGGUGAUCAAGACAUCUGAAUGCCAUCUUACGGCCAAAUUUGAACAAGUGACAGAAUGGGAUAAUUGGCAGUUUGGAGAGCCCAUGCUCUGCUCAGCUCGUCUAGAAUAAUGAUGACUUCUUACUGAAGCUGCCCUAAACAUCAAAGCUGACAGGGAAGAUCCAGAAUCAGCGUGAUGAAUUGGUUUCAAAAGGACUGGAGCAAAUUUAUACUUUAUAUGAAAGAAAAUUGUAAACAGUUGAAAACGUUUGUAGGUUUGAGUUGAAAUGUUUGGUAAUGGGAAAAUGAGCUGAUUUACAUACAAGAAGGUGAAUGCUAAAAGUUUGACUUAAGGUAAAAAAGUGGAUAUAGGAAUGUGAAGAAAUUGGUAAAGUUGUGUGGAAGUCAGUUAGAGGGAGGGAAGGAGGUUGAUGCUUUAUUUAAGCAAUGCUUUAAGUUAUGGAUUUUUGAUUUUUGAUAUGGAAAUGUAAUGAAAUAUGGAAAACUUAAUAAAAAUCAUAUUAAAAAAAAAGAAGCUGCCCCAAACAUAGAAGGGAAAAGGACUGGAGGGGCAUGAACCAGUUUCCUUGCUCCCUACGGUCCAUGUACCUUUGGAAAGAAGGAAUCUGUUAUUUCCUGAAUCUUCCUCAGCAGAGCAGCUAUUUGCUACAGGGGAAGGAGUUAUUGCAACUGGCUGGGCUACCUCUUCCCAUUAUUCCUUCCGAUGUCAUGGACUGGCUGGAUGCGGAAGAGUGGAGGAACCAGCAGGAGAACCCCCAAAGGAAGAAGACUCAAAGCUAGGGGAUUGCUGGUGGGAAGAUGACAAGUGGUCAGAGGGAGAAGACUGAAGAAGUAACAGGGUUUAGUGAGCAGGAGAGCAAUCCAGAACCAGAGGCAGAAGAGGAG
rnacentral:lncRNA from 1 species